GAGAUUUUAGUAAAGUAAUUACAUAACUUUGUCAAAGUUAAAUUAUAGGUUCAAACCCCAUAUAUUUCC
rnacentral:tRNA from 1 species